UAAACUAGGAUUAGAUACCCUAUUAUUUAAUAAUGUAAAGUAAAAAAAUUAGAGUAGUAAUAGUUAUGGUCUUGAAACUCAAAAAAUUUGGCGGUAUUUUAGUCUAUUCAGAGGAACCUGUAAUAUAAUCGAUAUUCCACGAUGAACCUUACUUAAUUUUGUUUUUUAAUUUGUAUAUCGCUGUUAUUAAAAAAUUUUAUAAGAAUAAUAAUUUUUAAGAAUUUUAAUAAAAAAAUAAAUCAAGUCAAGGUGCAGUUUAUAGUUAAGUUUUAUAUGGGUUACAAUAAAUUUAUUUAAACGGAUUUAAUAGUGAAAUUAAUUUUUAAAGAAGGUGGAUUUGAUAGUAAAUUUUUAUAGAUAAGAAAAUUGAUUUUAGCUCUAAAAUGUGUACACAUCGCCCGUCGCUCUUA
rnacentral:rRNA from 1 species